UGGGGAAUAUUGGACAAUGGGCGCAAGCCUGAUCCAGCCAUGCCGCGUGAGUGAUGAAGGCCUUAGGGUUGUAAAGCUCUUUCGCCGGUGAAGGUAAUGACGGUAACCGGAGAAGAAGCCCCGGCUAACUUCGUGCCAGCAGCCGCGGUAAUACGAAGGGGGCUAGCGUUGCUCGGAAUCACUGGGCGUAAAGCGCACGUAGGCGGAUCGUUAAGUCAGGGUGAAAUCCUGGGGCUCAACCUCAGAACUGCCCUUGAUACUGGCGAUCUCGAGUUCGAGAGAGGUUGGUGGAACUCCGAGUGUAGAGGUGAAAUUCGUAGAUAUUCGGAAGAACACCAGUGGCGAAGGCGGCCAAACUGGCUCGAUACUGACGCUGAGGUGCGAAAGCGUGGGGAGCAAAACAGGAUUAGAUACCCUGGUAGUCCACGCCGUAAACGAUGGAUGCUAGCCGUUGGGGAGCUUGCUCUUCAGUGGCGCAGCUAACGCCUUAAGCAUCCCGCCUGGGGAGUACGGUCGCAAGAUUAAAACUCAAAGGAAUUGAC
rnacentral:rRNA from 1 species